CAUGCAAGUCGAACGAUGAUGCUGGAGCUUGCUCCAGUUGAUUAGUGGCGAACGGGUGAGUAACACGUGAGCAAUCUGCCCUUGACUCUGGGAUAACUGCGGGAAACUGUAGCUAAUACCGGAUACUUUCACCGGAAGGCAUCUUCUGGUGAUGAAAGAAUUUCGGUCAGGGAUGAGCUCGCGGCCUAUCAGCUUGUUGGUGAGGUAACGGCUCACCAAGGCGACGACGGGUAACGGGCCUGAGAGGGUGACCGGUCACACUGGGACUGAGACACGGCCCAGACUCCUACGGGAGGCAGCAGUGGGGAAUAUUGCACAAUGGGCGCAAGCCUGAUGCAGCAACGCCGCGUGAGGGAUGAAGGCCUUCGGGUUGUAAACCUCUUUUAGCAGGGAAGAAGCGAAAGUGACGGUACCUGCAGAAAAAGCACCGGCUAACUACGUGCCAGCAGCCGCGGUAAUACGUAGGGUGCAAGCGUUGUCCGGAAUUAUUGGGCGUAAAGAGCUCGUAGGCGGUUUGUCACGUCUGCUGUGAAAAUCCAAGGCUCAACCUUGGACUUGCAGUGGGUACGGGCAGGCUAGAGUGCGGUAGGGGAGAUGGGAAUUCCUGGUGUAGCGGUGGAAUGCGCAGAUA
rnacentral:rRNA from 1 species